GACGAACGCUGGCGGCGUGCUUAACACAUGCAAGUCGAACGAUGAAGCUAGAGCUUGCUCCGGUGGAUUAGUGGCGAACGGGUGAGUAACACGUGAGCAAUCUGCCCUUGACUCUGGGAUAACUGCGGGAAACUGUAGCUAAUACCGGAUACUUUCACUGGAAGGCAUCUUCUGGUGAAGAAAGAAUUUCGGUCAAGGAUGAGCUCGCGGCCUAUCAGCUAGUUGGUGAGGUAAUGGCUCACCAAGGCGACGACGGGUAGCCAGCCUGAGAGGGUGAACGGCCACACUGGGACUGAGACACGGCCCAGACUCCUACGGGAGGCAGCAGUGGGGAAUAUUGCACAAUGGGCGAAAGCCUGAUGCAGCAACGCCGCGUGAGGGAUGAAGGCCUUCGGGUUGUAAACCUCUUUUAGCAGGGAAGAAGCGAAAGUGACGGUACCUGCAGAAAAAGCACCGGCUAACUACGUGCCAGCCGCCGCCGUAA
rnacentral:rRNA from 1 species